rnacentral:lncRNA from 1 species
AGCAGGGUUAGCACUUCCAGGUAGGGGUGUCAACAGUUCGGUUCGGUUCGAUUUUUUUGAAAAACCGAACCGAACCGAACCGUUAAAAAAAAACUUCCGAACCGAACCGAAUAAGACCCGAACCAAAUACGAACCGAACCGAUUCGGUUCGGUUCGAUUCGGUUUUUCGGUUUCGGUUUUCGGUUUUUAGAUUUUGGUUUUUGGUUUUUGGUUUUUGGUUUUUUUGGCGUCGAACUUAUCAGAAUUGAAGACGGUGAGCCCUUCCUCCAGCUUCGCGCCGUUCUCCUUCACCGGCGUCCCCCACGAUCGUGCCGCCUUCGCCGUGGCCAUCCUCGAUGGAAUCGCAGCGCGAGCGUUGGGCUCCCGUUGAUUGAUGUCUGGUUCCUCUCUUUCGUUUCACUUCUUUGGGCUGACCAGUCUCAAGAAACUUCGCAGCAAGCGCGCACAGACACGUCGCAUCUUCCACAUUCAAUUCCAUUGCCCCCAAAAACCUCCCCUGCCUCAAAUCGAAUGGUCCGAAUUCCGAUCAACUGAAGUAACAACAACAACAGGGGUCCGUGACUCGAAGAGCAAGAACCCAGGCAGAUCUAAAGCAAAGUAAUGAUUUGAGCAGCUGAUGGCGAGAGAGAGAGAGAAAGAGAGAGAGAGAGUUGGUGGGGGAAGAAGAGAGAGGGUCGAAGAAGGAAGCCUGCCUCUUCGAGCAGUGAAAGCUAAGAAUCGGAGCUGGCCUGAAGCCCCGCGGGAGAGAGAGAGCCAGAGGAGACGGGAUUUGGGAGAGAGUUUUAAUUUUAUCGGUUUGUAGUUUGGUUCGGUUCGGUUAACCGAUAAAAACCGAACCAAUAAAAAAAAAUAUCGGUUUUUUAUGAAAACCGAACCGAAAACCGAACCGAACCGAAAAAACCGAAUUUUUCGGUUCGGUUUUCGGUUCGGUUCCUGACACCCCUACUUCCAGGUUGUAGUGAAUCAUCCUCCCCAUUGGCAGCAAAAAUCCCACUACCAGUAAUCUCUUUCAUCUUGUAGCCAGAACAAGGUUUCCUGGAAGAUUACAAAAGCACUAUUCUAUGGAGGAGAAGAUGAGGAAAAAGCCACAAUAAGCAGUACCAAAGCGCAAAGGCACUAUGAAAGCUUAUGAAACUCUCUUGAUAAGGAGGAUAUAAAAAGGUCGCGUGUAUCAGUGUGUGCCCACGAGCAAAUACGUAAGCUCGUGUGUGUUUGCGUGGGUGCAUGUGCAUUUGUGUCAAAUAUCCAUCCCCAUUCAGUUUGUCUACAAAAUUAGAUAGAUAGAUAGAUAGCCAAGUAACUAGCUUUUUAGAUGGACAUGUUUUUUUUUUUUGGUAAAUUAAGUAAUAUAUAAAUGGGGAAGACCAAAAAGUAUAAAACGAACCGGCUUCAAAAACUUGCACCCAAGAUGAAUAGGCUCAUUUUGAGUGGAAGGAAGCCGAGAAAGAGCCCAAGCGGCAUUUAGACGGACAUGUUUGUGGGUGCAUGCAUUUGAAAUUGUAUAUAUAAUGACUUUUCUGCAUGUACAUGUUAUACAUGGAUUUAAGCUUUUCCUAAUUUAACAACAUAUAGUUGUUUCUAUCGCAGCACUUCGGAAGGGUGUCGACAAUGCAUCAUGUGAGACUUACCAAUCCUGAGCAAAAUGCCCUCUCCAUUCCAUGCAUUGACUAAGAACAACCUAGUUUUAGACGGACUAGAGCUUUUACAUGUCAAUAAAAUAUUUCACAAAGCGCAAAUUGAAAAGACAUCAAAAAGAAGUUAACAUUAGUUAAGCACCUAUUAUAAUUGUAUCUAGAUCCGAGUUGGGUAGAUUGUCAAUGAGAUUAUCAGAUCGGCAUUUUCAUGACUGCAGAAGCUCGGUAGACAUUGAAGGAACUCCACAUGAUAGUCGCCAAAGAAUUGUUUACUUCUCGAAUCUUGACAUCUAACGAACUUACUCUUUCCAUCUAGUCUCUACUAAUUAUGGAACGGGAUUGACUGAACUAGCUAAAUUAGACACGAGGGCUUGCAACAGAAUCAAGUUCAAGAAACCAACCAGACUUCUAAGGCCAAGGACAAUGAUCAAGCUCAACCUGACGAGGCAUCUGAGGUUCUAAGAUCCACCCAAUUGACCAAGAUUUCUCCAUUAACAGCCACCCCAAAAAAUUACCUUUUUUUUUUGUAAUUUAAAAGGGAGGUGAUAAAGAUUAUUAUGUCCGAAAUAAAGUUUCUUCCUCAUUUCCCGCAGAUCGAUCACUACACAUCACACUGAACCUAUAUCAUACGAUCCAACCAUAAUUUUUUAAGAUAGAAAAUCCAAAGCAGUGGAGAACAUUAAGAAUGCUGACAAAUACCUAAAACGGCGAGGGAGAGGGAAAAAAGAGCAUUUUUUAAACUAAUUAUUUUAAACGUUAUAAAUGAUAUUUUUUGGAAAAUAAUUUACAAAUCAUUUAUUUUUCAUAUAACAGACGAAGCUUAAAUUUUUAAGCUUUGUUGACUUACAUCCCAAUCUUUGCACUAAAGAAGAUUGAUGAGUCUUUGCAAAUAGAGGGCCACAAGUUGUGAUGGGAGACGUGGGGAUCACAAUUCACAAGAAGUAUCCUUCUUUGUUAGUGACCGUUGAUUUACUAGUCAAAGUCAUUUAAUGAGAACAAAGGGGACGGUAGUCGAAAAGAAUGAAACUUGCUAAGCCUGUUGAUAAAUCCAAGUCACAAAAGCAAAAGGCGAAAGAAGUUUUAAUUCGGAAACCAAGAAGAACUCAAGGCCCGCCGCAUCGAUUGACAAGGCUUCCUUAGUUCCUUGGGCUUUGCUGCGAAGUGUUCCAUCGACUGCACCACGUACCAGUCGUCGAGGUUUGCCUUGCUUCUCUUUGGAAUUAGCAGCUGAUUUUUUGCGGGAAGUGGGGAUGGAGCGCUCGGCAACCGAGAGAUUGCCAUAAACUGCAAAAGCACCUCCAAUGCUCCUAGUAGAAGAUUCAAUCCAGAGGGUUUAGAUACCAUUUCGAGCCUACAGGAGGUGUGAUAAGAGAUGAUAAAGGCAAUGCGAUCACACAAAAAUGAAAUCACCGCAUUUAUGGUUGAGAUUCCGGCCCCUAUAUAGACACCAAACACAAACAGGUAGCUCUCAAGCCACUAAAUAAAAUCAAAACUUUAACCUGCGGUCCCUGAUUAUAUUUGUUCCUCAUCAAGUAAAAGGCCAUAGCAGCAGUUUCUGCAGCAUUGCUUACGAAUUGCUCGCACUGCUAUAAGCCUAUAACAUAGAUCACAGUCACCAGCAGUAUCGAUUAAAGAUCAAAUUAAGGACCUCUCAGAAGCACGUAAACCAAUGCCACGAUAAAAAAAAAUAAUAAUAAUAAUAAUAAUAAUAAUAAUAAUAAUAAAGUAUUUGCUUCACAUAGCUAGGAGAUGCCUUUGUAACCAGGCAUGGUGAAUACCUACAAAUUUGUAACAUAGACACCAAUGCCACGAUAAAAAAAAAUAAAGUAUUUGCUUCACAUAGCUAGCAGAUGCCUUUUUAACCAGGCAUAUUUGCUUCACACAGCUAGCAGAUGCCUUCGUAACCGGGCAUCGUGAAAACCUACAAAUUUAUAUGACAGCAAUGAAAACAUAGACACCUCAAACCACACCGAGGUAGGCACAUUGCUUCUACCAGACAGCUUCACAAGUACUUAUAAAUUAUGGGUCUGCAUGGCCAACCAUGGCCAGAAGCAUUUUCUCAUACUCUCCAUGAGUGUCCUUGACAAUGGCACGAUGGAGGGGGACGUUGUUCUUUCUUUGGUACUCCUCAGUUAUUAACUUCAUGUCGACCUCAGCCCUGGUAACAACCACUCUAAUCAGAGCCGCUUCAUCUGUUCCUUGCCUUUUGAUAGCCAAACAGAGGACCUUCUCAAAAUACUUCUCAGGGCGAGUCAGGCACUUGACUGUAGCUCUCAGCAUAAAAAGGAACUUGUCUUUUGGAUCAGUUUUCAAAUCCUGCGAACACGAAGGAUCAAGAAUUAGAUGAUUCUUAGUCUAGAACAGAGACAAGUUCAAUGUAUUCUGAUGCAUGCUACCUAAGGUUAAAGUCUAAAACUAGAACAGAGCACAAUACAGGGUGAUGAGUAUCUUGAAAAUAGGUGAUAUUAUUAGGUCUCAAUAUUUUAGAAACAAAAUAUCAUUAACUUGCCUCUUACUUUCAGUGACAACAAUAUCCAAGGGUACUCUUCAUCCUCAAGGAACUAUAAACUUUAGUCAUACAGGUAAAAGCAACAUGCAAGGGCUAGUUCAUAAAAAUUCAAACUGACCUUGUUGAUAUCAUUUCCAAACUCACUGGAGUGAUGUGCUUUGCUCCUAGAGGCCAAAAUCCAUAUGAGAUGCUUGUCACUGUAAGCCUUCUCUAAGAUCUUCUCACGGAGCAUCUUAGCCUCUUCUUUCGCCAGAGUCAAGUCCACCUCAUCUCCACCAUAACGGUAUGAGCUCAUAAGUGACAGCAGCAGCUAAGAAGCAAAGAAACUGUAUCAAAAUGCAAUUUUUUCCUAAUAGGCAAGGAAAUUUGUCUUACAUUCAACACAACUAAUGAAAAAUAAAAUAUUUCCGGAUAGAUAAGAAUUACUUCAUGGGUUAUCCUGAUAAUGGACCUGGUUUUUCAUUUGAGAUAGGAGAAAGAAGUCCAAAGAAGUGGCAUAUAGUCUCCAUAGUUUCGUGAAGCCAAAACCAAACAGGAACUACUCUCAAUCAUACCACCAUCCUGACAAGCAUUCUCUACAAAACUUCAAAACUUUCUUAAAAUUCAACACCCUACAACUUAUAUUCAGACUCCCUGUAAUAUGCUGAAUCCCAUACACCUUUCGAUGUUGAUUGCCUUCAUCAAUCACAAAGGAUAUAUCACGGGACAACCAUAAAUAUAUUAAUCUGAACAUCACACAGUUGCAGAGAGUACUUAUUGCAAAGGUACGGAAAAAAGUUACUCAGAGAAAAAUCAUCAAGAUUGGGAAACUUCAUGGCACAAUUCCAGGCAAACGUAAAAGCAGUACCUCACGAAAAUCUCCAGUUGUGUGGCAAGCAACGACCUCUUCCGGCGACUUCUUGUAACGAGCGUGAAAUGCUUGUUUCCACAGAAGCAACUGCUGCGAAGACCUAGUGCAAGAUAAUUCCAAGAAAGCAAGGCUCGAAGUCGAAGUGAUCUUUGUUGCUACAUUUGCAAAGUGCUACAUUCGCAAAGUGCGCAUCACGCACAGCCGGAGGAAGCAUCUCAAGGAGCCGCAGCAUCACAUCAUAAUUAAGCUAAAGGAUGCAAAGAAUUUAGAAAAUCAUGUAAUGUUAUAUCCACGGCUUUAUGAACAUAUCGUACAAUCACAUAUGGAAGAGGGACAUAUCUCCAUGAAGUGAAUUUAAAUAAUUAAAGAAGAUCAGACCUGGGAAUUCGGAACAUCUCUCUCCAAUUCCUCCAAUGCCUCCUCCAAGUUCCUGGAUAAUUGCCCCACGCCCGUCAAGACGUUGCCAAAAAUCCCGAUAGAUUGUAGACAUAUCGGGAUUUUUGACCAAUCGCACGGUUCGGUGCAGCAAAAGGCAUCAAGCGCCAUGCUUCAUCACCUUUAAAGAGAAUCAUCAAACGAGAAAAGAUUAUAUUACACAAUAAUGUUUUGACUUUAUUUUGGAGCUCAUACUGUGUCCAGGUUCAAGGUAGGAAACACUUUCUUUAAUUGUACCAGCGAAUAACAGCUACAGGAGACAUCCUCUGCACAGUUUCUUUAAGUCGAGGGAUGUCAUUGUCGACCCUAGGCCAGAGAGAUCUGCUAUCCAGGCUCGUGGGUUUGGGCAAAAUUUUUGGGGCCCGGUUAAUGGGCGGGCCGGGCCGUGGCAAGGGUCUUGAAAUCUGGCCUGCCCAUACAUUUACGUUAAAAAUAUAAGAAUUAUGUUUUAUUAAUAAUGCAAUCUUGAUAUUUAAAGUUUAUAAAUGCUAAGCCUACGGUUGGUCAUCCAGACAUCUAAAUAGAAUAGAACUUGAUAGAAUAAGAUAUGAAAUCCAAGAAUUUUGCUAUAUCCUAUUCACUAUUUAGUUAAUCGUAAUAAUAAAAUCGGACAUAUUCAUAUCAUAUCAUUUAUAUUCUUUUUAUAUAAACGACAUAUCAGCAUAAAUGAAUCCUAAAAAUGAUAAACGAACCUAAAAGUUGGAGACACUCUUUGCCUAUCAAUUUUUAUUUUAUUUUUAUUUUAUUUUCCUCUCUUUUUUUAAUUUUUUAAUUUCUUUUAUUUCUUUUUCCCCUUCCAUCAUUCUCUAAUAAAAUUUUAUUAAAUACUAAAUUGUGCUAAUAUACUUAAAAUAUGUAAUAAAUAUAAAUAUAUACUUAUACUUAUAUAUUCGAAUUUAAUUCUAUAUCAUAUAAAUUCAAUAUAUAAGUAAAAACUAAACUAAAUUAAAAAAACUAAAUUAUUUUUUUGUAAUUUUGAUUUUCUUAUUUUAGAAUUCAAAUAUUAUUUUAUAUAUAUAUAAUUUCAAUUUUGUUAAUUUAAGAAGUUUGUUAUUUGAAAAAAAAAAUAACCUUCUGAUUUUGGAUAUUAGAAAAAGCCACCAAAAAUCAUGAACUUUAUCAAUUAUGACACAUUUAUCCCAAACUUUUUUUGUAACACAAACUUGUACCUAUGUGAGAAAUUAAUCCUAAUUUUUUUCAAUGACACAAAAAAAAACCCAAAAUUAUACUUUUGUAACAUUAAAAACCCUAAAUUUUUAUUUUGUCACAUUUGCCCCCAAAAAUAUAGUGUCAUAGAAAAAAGUUUAGGGUUUUUUGUCUCACAAAAGAAAAGCUUGUGGUUUUUGACUUCACAAAACAAAAUUUUGGAUAAAUAUGUCACAUUGUAUAAAUCUGGGGUAAAUGUGUCACAUAGAUAAAAGUUUAAGAUUUUUAGUAUCACAAAAAUAAAUCAAAGUAAAUGUGUCACAAUGGGCAUAAUUUAAUAUUUUUGGCGGCUUUCAUCCUAAACCUUUUGACAAUUAUUUGAUGUAGUCUUCCAGUCAAAAUUGACUAGAAAUCGCUAACAUAGAAGCGGGUCCUUAACGUGACAAGGUUAAUGUUGGCAUAGAUGAUUUUUGCAAUUAAUUAUUAAAAAAAAAAAAAAUUGGCUUUUACCCUAAACCUUUUGACAAUUAUUUGAUGUAGUCUUCCAAUCAAUUUUGACUGGAAAUCGCUAACGUAUAAACUGGUCCUUUACGUGACAAGGUUAAUGUUGACAUAGAUGAUUUUUGCAAUUUAUUAUUAAAAAUUUGUAUUUUUUUCCUUUCAUUUUUUUUUCUUUUCUCUUCCUUAUUUUCCAUCUUUUCUUUCUCAUUCUUUCCUUUUUUACCUUGACCAAAAAAGGAAAGGAAAAAAAAAGGAAAAAUUCAGAAAAUUUUUAAAAAAAUUACAAAAAGCAUUUACGUCACUAUCGACCGCGACCGUGCCACGUAACAUAGAUAGCCUCUGCAUUUAAUUUCUAGCCAAAAUUGACUAAAGGAUUAUAUCAAAUAAUAAUUAAAAAAUUUAGUACCAAAUUAGCUAAAAUUGAAAAGUUUAAGAUCAAAUUGAUUACCGUAAAAUAGAUUCAUACUUUUCUCGAUAAAUAUUAUCGAAGCUACAAAAAGAGAUUUAAAAAAUCGAGUGUUUGUCAUAGAGAGUGAAAUUUUGUGUGUGGAAAAAUGAGGAUCAUUUUGAGCAAGAGAAUGACACUACGUUGAGCGCCGGGAUCAGUCUAAGCAAGAGAAUGACACUACAUUGAGCGCCAACGUUGAUCUCAACUAUGGAGGAGGAUGAGCAAGAGUGCAUGGACCAAAAUGACGAACCUUCGCUUCCUGCAUCCCCUCAAGGAAAGCGUCGAUCCCCUCUAUGGGACUCCUUGUCAACACAACCUGGGCACUUCAGAGUGCCAUCCAUUUGCAACAUUGAUGCCAAAGUCUCUGAUUGCCCAACCAAUUAAAUUUUUCUCUCACACUAAUCCUUUUUUCCAUGAUCAAACUCUCGAACAACUUGGGCUCCAAGUAAAUGGAGCAACUAUAUAAGAACUUGUAUGACGAACAAAUAGGCGGAACAAAUUACGUUAACGGAAACAUCUUGCUUUUCGAGUCUCUCACCAGUCUCUCUAGCUCCCUCUCUCUCUCUCUCUCUCUCUCUCUCUCUCUCUCUCUCUCUCUCUCUCUCUCUCUCUCUCUCUCUCUCUCUCAACAGAACAAUUUUUAACAUACAACGCAAAAGGCCCAGAUCAGCCAAUCCUUCGGAAUCAAACCUCCCAAAAAGAUUAAAUUUUGGCUCACCUCGCUUGCUCUGGAUAGCUGUGUCGAAGUCGCGAGCUGCAAAAGAGAGGAACAAACUGAAUUGCGUUCCUGCGGCACCGAUGGUGGUGAAAACGAGAGGCAAACUGACUAACGACUGGCGAGGGUGCGGCGGAUCUAGGGUUGCUGCGAUUGAGAGAGAGAGAGGGGCAAGGUUGCAAGAACUUGGGAAAGUUCCAUGCGCUUAGGGUUUUCUUUUUUAAACAAUGGACAAGAACCGGUUCCAAAACUAGUCUGGUUCCCAAUUCACUUAGAAUCAGGAAUCAAACCAAUUUCAACCGAUUCCCAAAAAGUGGAGCCAAUUCCCGAAUCUAUUGGAUCUAUUUUACGUGUGGGCCAGUCCGAUUUUUGGAUAAACCCUAUCUGCCAUAAGUGACGGCAUUUCUCAUUUUCUCUCUCUUGGGAAUUGUCUUGGUUGUUUGCGCUCUCCCUCGACGGUCCCUCAGUAAUGAGCGAUGUCAUGAGCGAUGUCGUAAUGAGGGACACAAUUGUCACGAGCCGAUCGAUUGGUAUCGUAACCGUGCGGUGACUCAAGCUCUUUUGAAUCGCCUAAGCCAAGCCUUACUCGAUCGAUCGCACACUCGCUCGCUUUACCCAAAUCGUAGAGAGAGAAAGCUUUUACAAAGAGAAGCUCUGGACAGAAAUGAGUUUUGAUAUUACUGAAAGGAUUGGAUGAUUACAAAUGAGGGAAAUGGCACCCCUUCUUAUACUAAAGGCCCUCAGAUUAUAUCCGUUGAUCUAGAAUUCGUCCGACGGACGAGAUUGCACCGCCAAACCUACCGACACUAAUGACAGCUACCAACUACCGACAUUAAUGGCUAGAGACUUCUAGAAUUUGGCGUAAUGACGGUGUCACCUGCCCUUCAAAAGUUCCGGAAGGAGACUUGUUGGGAAUCCAAGUAAGCGCAAGAGGUCCUCCACAGCAAGGCACGGCCCUUUAGCUCCAGAAACCUCUUAGCCAUGACAUUCUCCCCCACUCAUUCGAGCAAUGCCCUUGUCGCUCAUAGCUCGAAAGGCGGCCUUCUUGGCACGAGCACUCAUGAAUGAUGGACCAUACCCUUCUAUCUUUAGCUCGGGCUUGGGCAUAGAACACGGUGAGUACUCAACCUCGGGGAAGAGCACUUGGAUCGACAUGGCAUGAGUUGGAGUAGGAUCCAACUCUUCCUUCGACGUCUCCAUGGACAGCGGCUUGUGCAUGCACUUCUCAACCUUCAAGCUCUUGUCAAGGCGAUGGAUCGUGGCAAUGGUCUUGGUGUUGACCACUCCUUUUAUCAUAUGGAUCAUCAACGGGCAUUUUGGAUUGAGGAUCAUGAUGCACUUGGUCCUCAUGUUGAUCAUAAACCUCACGCUAUGGAAAAACUGCAUUCCUAGAAUGAGAUCAUAAUCAUCGAGAAGGAUUAUCUCGAAUGCCAGCUUGCCUUUUCAUCCGCCGAUUUGGACGUCCACGUCGAGAGUUGAUCCUACGCCUUUGAGCCCAUCCGAGUUGAUGGCCUUGAAUGAAUUCCCGAUCAACUCAACGCGAAGUCUUAAGGCUUUCGCCACCUCAGUCGACAUGAACAUGUUCGACGCACCCGUGUCAACCAAGGCGUAAAGCGUUUGGUCUCCCACUUCGACCCCCACGAAGAACAUGUCCGAGUUUGAGGUAGCUUCCUCUUCUUUGGAUGGCGAUCGAACUUGGACGGAGUUGAUAACCUUCAUGCUUCCAAGCCGGAUUUGCCACUUCUCUUCUUUAGGCUCCUCCUCCUCUUCUUCUUCGAUGGCAAGGAGAGCGUUGAUUCUUCCUUUAUUUGGGCACUUUUGGGUCCAAUGCAGACCUUUGCAAAUGAAGCAAGGAGAAGGCGGGGGUUGAUCAAACUUACUCGUCGUGUAGUCCGUUGGUCAACCCUUUUGGAAGGACGGCUUGGAAGUUCCUUCUCCCCAUGUUUUGACUCGGCCACCUUGAUCAUGCUCGCCUCGAGGAGUACUUCUUCCUUCAUCCUCAGAGGAUCGAUCCGACCUCCAAUCUCUUGCUCGAUUCUUUGGUUCAGCUUUGGUGAGAUCAAUGAGGGACUCGACCACGCUUAGCAUUCCAGUAAGAGUACUCACAUCCCAUCACUUGAACUCAAGUUGUGCCCACAACUUCAGUCCAUCCAUGAACGCUCCAAGAGCCUCCUCCUCACUUAGGUUGCGAAUUUGGAGUUUGAGCUCCGUGAACUCCUUCACGUACUCUCGGAUCACGCCUCUUUGAUCGAGGCGAUGGAACUUACUACGAGCAUCUUGUUGAGCAAACUUAGGGAAGAAGUAGUCUCAGAACUCCCUCACGAAGUCAUCCCGUGUGUCCAUGGGAUUGGUGCUACACUUAGUCUCAUCACACUUAUUGCGCCACCAAAGCAUUGCGGUAUCAGAAAGGAACAUCGAGGCAGUUCUUACCUUAAUCGACUCAUUGUGGAUGUUGACAGCACCAAAGUACUACUCCUCCAUGCUUCAAACGAAGUUGUCCACCUCCUUGGCAGAUCGGUUGCCUUUGAACUCUUUAGGCUUCGGCACGUCAAGCUUGGGCACCGCUUGUGUGGGCAUCACUCCAUUGGUGAUGCUCCAUUUGCAUAGGGCGAGCUUGGUCUUGAGCUCUUGGAUUUUCGUCUUCAUGGCUUCGACCUCAUCCCUAUGAAGGCUUUCUUCCUCGAUCACUUGGACGCACUCCUUCAACACAUCGAUUGAUGCUUCAAGGGCUUUGUCCUUGUCAUGCAAUGGGGCUAUAGCUUCGUUGAGGCCGGUCGUGAAGUCUUCACGGAGUGAGGUCUCAACCUCCAUGAUGCGGUCUCACACAUCGUCAAGACCUUCCAUGAAUUCCACCAUGACACUCCAAACCUUCGUGAGCUUCUCAUCCAACGAAACUAUGGCGUCCAUCGAGGCUUCUCUUUUCUUCAUUCGGCCACGAAUCUCCUUGACUUGAACAACCUCCCAUCCAUGACAGCUUCUUGGCUCGACAUUCUCUCAAACAGUUGGUACUCCUCGAUCUCUCGAAACGGAUCCCUCAUUCGCUCUGAUACCACUUGUCACGGGCCGAUCGAUUGGGAUCAUAACCGUGCGGCAACUUGGGCACUUUUGGAUCGCCUAAGCCAAGCCUCGCUCAAUCGAUCGCACACUCACUCGCUUUACCCAUAUCGUAGAGAGAGAAAGCUUCUAGAGAGAGGAGUUCUAGAAAGAAAUGAGUUUUGAUAUUACUAAAAGGAUAUUACUAAAAGGAUUUGAUGAUUACAAAUGAGGAGGAGGGCACCUCUUCUUAUACUAGAGGCCCUCGGAUUACAUCUGUUGACGAGAUCGCACCACCAAACCUACCGACACUAAUGACAGCUACCAACUACUAACAUUAAUGGUUAGAGACUUCUAGAAUUUGGCGUAAUGACGGUGUCACCGCCCUUCGAAAGUUCCGAAAGGAGACCUGUUGGGAAUCCAAGUGAGCGCAAGAGAUCCUCCGCAACAAGGCAUGGCCCUUUAGCUCCGAAAAUCUCUUGGCCGUGACACAAUGCCCUCAGUCCAAGAUCCUAGGCAAAUAUGUAAUGCAUUCGCAAGACUUGACUGUCCCUCAACAAUAAGCGAUGUCGUGAGCGAUGUUGUAUUAGGGGACGCAGUGCCCUCGGUCUCGAAUCCUGGGCAAAUCCGGGAUGCAUUCGCAGGACUUGACGGUCCCUCAGCAAUAAGCGAUGUUGUGAGCGAUGUCGUAUUGGGGGACGCAGUGCCCUCGAUCCUAGAUCCUAGGAAAAUCUGAAAUGCAUUCGCAGGACUCGAUGGUCCCUCAACAAUGAGCGAUAUCAUGAGCAAUGUCAUAUUAGGAGACAUAGUGCCCUCGGUCCCAAAUCCUGGGCAAAUCCAGGAUGCAUUCACAAGUGCCCUAUCAUGUUUUUUUUUUUUUUUUUUUUUUGUAAAAAGUGCCCUAUCAUGUUGUUGAUAUCAUAGAUUGUUUUUCUAAGGUUUGAAUUAAUUAUCUACUCAAAGAUCGUGUGCUGAUCGAGUUAGAGUUCUUGCACUUUUAUUUUUUGGGUGAUUGGCAGGCAAGAUCGAGCUGUUUCUAGGUUGAGGAAUGAAUCAAACUUUUCCUCUAAUGUAAUCUUCUUCUUUUUUUUCAUUUGAUGAUUUUCAUGAAUGAUCUUGAAGGAUGGGGAACAUAAGAGAGGUUGAUCUUAUCCAUAUUGGCUGUUGGCACUCCUUAGGAGAAGAAGAGUUUAAAGCAACACUAUAUGAUGAUCCAUGGAGGGGACAUCUCCAAGGCAUUGGACAGUGAAGCAACUUUCAACGUAUGAUUUUCUUUAAUUGUUUAAAUUCAUUUCAUGGAGACGCGUCCAAGAGCAAUCCCUAGUCGUUCCUUUAUUUCAGUUGAUUAUCAAUACAUGAUUAUACCUUUGUUCAUGAAAUUUAACAUGACGUGUGAUCUUCAAAAUUCUUUCCCUCUCUAUGAUUUCCAUCAAAUUUUUGUGGUCUUGUGUUUGCUUGAGGCUUCUGAACGCGAUGCGCUCUUGGCACAUAGAGCAAUCCUAAAGGGGGAUAAUGAUGUUCUCAUAGAGCUAGUUUGCACAAGGUCUCCCCGGCAGUUGUGUUUGGCAAAAGAUGCAUAUCAGGCUCUAUACAAGAAGUCAGUCAAAGAGGACAUUGCUCAAGCCAGGGCUAGGAUAUGUCAUGAGGUACUGCUCUUAUGCUUUCCUAAAGUUGUGCCAUGAAGUUUCCUAAUCUUGAUGAUUGUUAUUCGGAUGAACUCUCUUCCACACAUUUUGUAGUAAGUAUUUUGUACUAUGAAGUCUCUGUAACUGCGCGACGCUCUGAGUAAUAGAUUAAUCACUCUUUUGUGAAAGUAUUCUUUGAGAUUCAUGAAGGCAAGUAAGAACAAAGUGUGUCUGAGAUUCAACAUAUUACAGAGAGUUGGAGAAUACAAGUUGCAGUGUUUUAAAUCUUUAAGAUGGUUUUGGAGUUUUUAUGCUUGUCUGGACAGUGUUAUUAUUGAGAGCAAAACCUGAUAUUUUGGCUUGUUAUUUGCUUGGUUAUGGUUUCAUGAAACUGUGGAAACUAUGUGCCACUUCAAUGGACCCCUUUAUCCUAUCUAAAAUGAAGAACCAGGUCCAUCAUAAAAAAUAAAAAUUAAAAAUUAUAACCCGUAAAAUAAUUAUUGUCUAUCCUAAAUCAUUUCAUUUUCACCAGGUGUUAAAAUGUAAGUUGAUUUACUUGUCUGUUCGGGAUAAACUACAUUUUGAUAUGGUUUUUUUGCCUCCUAGCUGUUGUUACCUCUCACCAGCCCAUAUCAUUAUUCUGGGCUGAAAGUGGACGAACAUGAGGCACAAAAAGAUGCUCCGAUGCUCCAUGAGAAGACCUCGGAGAAGGAUUAUAGCAACAGGGAUGUGAGAUGGUUUUUGGCCACUAGGAGCAAAGCACGGCUCAAGGCUACACUUGAUCAUUACAGAUGUGCUUAUGGAAAUGAUAUCUACAAGGUGAAUGGGAAUGACUAUCAAUCGGCCCUUUCAUAUUGCUUUUACAUAUAGAGCUAAAGUUUACAGUUCCUCGAGGAUGAAAAGUGCCUGUGGUUAUUGUUCAUUUUAUGAGCUUUUGCUCAGCAGUGACGAUGAUGCUUAAAAGUAAAAAGCAACCUAAUGACAUCUUGUUUCUAAAAUAUUGAGACCUAAUAAUAUCAUCUAUUUUCAAGAUAUUAAGUACCCUACAUUGUGCUAUGUUCUGGCAUGGGUCGCUUCUAGACUAUAAUCUGGUAUUAUGCAUCAAAGCAUAUCGAGCUUCUCUUUGUUCUAGACUAAGAAUUAUCUAAUUCUUGAUCCUUCGUGUUUGCAGGAUCUGGAAGCUGAUCCAACUAAUCAGUUCCUUCAUAUACAGAGAAAUACAAUCGAGUGCCUGACUUGCCCCGAGAAGUAUUUUAGGAAGGUUCUUCAUGUGGCCAUCAUGUAAGAGUUUUCCUAAUGUAUACUAUAUUAAUUGAUAUUGUAAUUUACUAUUUUAUGGGUACUAUAAAAUGGGGUUUGGUCUAAUGUGAGAUAAAAGGUUUCUUAAUUAAUCUAAUAUAGGACUGGCUAGCGUGGGCCAAGUUGAGCCUAACCCGUAAUAAGGGGGCUUGGUGCUUAAGUCUCUUCUCUAACCUUAAUUCUCACAUGUAUCCUCACAUAAGGAGCGUUAACCCAGCGCUAAAGAGUGAGGGGGCCGUCUCAUUGAGCCAUUGAUACGGAAGGCAAUAAAUGAGAAGGAUUUGCACGUGAAACAUCAGUUUUCCGCUUCCGCUUCAAGAACGAUGGACCUCAAAACAAGUGCGUUAAUCUUUCUACUCAAUUAUGCAUGUUCUUAUUCUGGUUAUUGAGAUCUUGGGAUUACGCAAUUUGCAUCCAACACGUCAUACUAGAGCAACCAUAACCCUAAAACUCGAACGCAUAGAAUUUUUGUCCUAAUUUUGAGAUUUUCGUGAUUUUUUGUUCAAUAAAAAUCAAAUUAAAUCACAAAUUCGAAUUGGGCUCGAUGAGACAAGCAGAUCCGUGGGCGGCACGUCGCUGGAGAGGGCCGCACGCGCCCCCACAAGCCCCACGUGCAGGGCGCAGCUUGCACGUGCGACGCACGUGCGGUGCUGACGUCAUGAUGAUGUCGGUGACAAGGCCAAACUCAAUUGGCAACCAACCCAACCCGUUGACCCAACCAAACCCGACCCGAUCAACCAAUCAAACCGAACGGCUGGACCGGGCGGUCGAGCUAGGAGCCAGUCAAACCGGUUUUGACCGAUCAAGAUACGCCCGCACGUGAUCUCCAUGCGCAUGCGCCACUGCGGGCAUGUGAAGCCUUUGAUCGGCACGUGGCUGGUGGUGUUAGAUUCGUAUGACUGUCAUCUAUGUUGUGGUGUAUUUCUUUUAUAUAUUUGAUGAUUUUAUGGAUGUGAAAAUACAUAUGAAACCUUAAAUACGUUUAUUUUUUAUAUAUUUUCGCGUAUUUUUCUUGUAUUUUUUAUGAUUUUGGAAAUACAGAUAUUGGGUUACAGGUAUGUUAUCACAUAAAUAUUAUAAAGGUGUUAUUCAUUGAUAAUAUAUAUAAAUUUUAAUUUUUAUUAAUGAAUAACGAUAUUAUCAAUGAAUAAAGUAAUGUAAUUAGCAUGAUAUGUGAUUUUGGUGAUUUGUUGCCCCUAUCACUGAAGUUAAAAUCACAUGUAUAUGGUGUAUGUGAGAAGUAAAGUUUAUAUCCCUGGUAUGAGAGAAUUUCAAGGAUUCAAUUGAGUAGUGACCACCAAAGUGGCACGCUUGAUUAGAUUUGAGAAAUAUCGAUCUCGUAUAAUGUUUGAGAUGUCUUAUAAUUUAGUGCGUAGUCAUAAUCCUAAAGGAGGUGAUUGUGUAUUAGUUCAUGGAGGGAUACAUGAUGGUGUGGUGGAGGAGUGACUGAUCACAGUGGUUCAUAUGCCCAAAGGUGAUGAAUUCACGAAAAUUAGAAUAUAUUCUCAUAAUCACUAUCAUGUGGGGAGUGUACAACCGUAUGUCAUGUAUUCUGCUGAAAUGUGAUUAUAUGAUUUUGCAUGUAACUCUCUGGAUGUCUACUUGUACGUCAAGUUACAUAGUGCUUACAUGAUGUUAAUUAUAUUCAUUGCUUGUUUUUCAGUCACAUUUUCUGUAAUUAAUAACUCCACUAUUAUUAAGGUUUUUAUUGAUUCGAAUUUUAAGUAAUAGACAUAUGAUUUGUUGCUUGUGAAAAGAAAUUUUACUGUCCACAAAAACACUUGAAAAAUGGUUUUUCAACUUACUACACUACAAAAAAAUGCUAUAGAAGACGAUAAAGUUUUCACUCUAAAAAAUGGGUGGACAGUUAAUAGAUAUUAAGAAAUAAAUAUUUCUUUAUAGUAUUUUUAAAAAUUAUUUCAGAGUGAACAUGGCAACUGGAGGAAAUUUAUUUUUCUCUAUAUACUACGAGGUCAGUGAAAGGAAAAUUAUUUUUCUUAUACCCUAUGUAUUCUUUUACCAUGCAAACGGAGUUUGUAGCAUGUUUUUCAGUUGCUACUCAAGUUAUUUGGCUCUGGAUGCUCAUUAAGGAGUUGGUUGUUUUUUAACUUUAUGGAUUGAUCCAUACGGUUGUAUUGAAACAAUAAAUUUGUAGUAUUUUUAUUAAUAACAAAGAUCUGAAAUGGUCUAAAUAUAUGACAAUCAAAUUUUUUACCAUAAAAAAACGGUACAGAAAGGUAACGUUAUAAUAUAAUAUAUUAAUGUAGAUGAUAUGGUUGCAAAUCCACUAACUAAAGGUCUAUGCCCAUAUGUAUUUGAGCAACAUGUCAUUAGCAUGAGGGCCUAAGAGUAUCUUGAGAUACUGUUGUUUAGUAUGAGCUAUUUUGGCUUUACACUAAUAAAGUUUACAUUUGUGUUCAUUACAUUUUGUAACGGUUUGAUAUGUAUCAACUUUUGCAUUCAAAAAGUAUUUUUGAAUGUAUUAUUAUUAUGUUGAAUACAUAUUGAUAAAAGUCUCAGGAUAUUAUAUAAACCUUGAGUGAAAGCUAGGAACAUUCAGUUAUUAACCUUGUGCAUAUGUCUUGUUAUAUAUAAAGAAAGGUUAACCAUAAGGACAAGACAUAUGUGAGUUCAUUAUAAUCAUAAAAACAUUCUCUAGUGGCAUAUGAUUUUUGUGACGCUUAGUAAGAGAAUUGUGACUGACAAAUGGGAUCUCUCUAUGAGAGAUGUUAUCCAUUUGUCACACUAUCAUAUUGAAUCCAUAUCAAUAAAGUUGAAAGCACUUGUGACUAUGGAAGGCUCUGUGUAUAUACAUACAAUUACUACCAUAAUUCGAUGUAUGAGACUUUAUGGGAUAGGAAUGACUAUUACGAAUUAUCUCUGGAUCAAUGUACGCACAUACAAUACAAUUUCAAUUAAUAUAAUUUAAGUGGGAAAAUGUAAGAGUUUUCCUAAUAUGGACUACAUUAAUUGAUAUUGUAAUUUAUUAUUUUACGGUUAUGGUAAAACGGGACUUGGUCUAAGGUGAGAUAUAAGAUUUCUUAAUUUGUCUAAUACAGGGCUGGCUAGUGUGGGCCGAGUUGAGUCUAGUCCAUAAUGAGUGUGUGUUAAUCUUUCUACUCAAUUAUGCAUGUUCUUGUUCUAGUUAUGGAGAUCUGGGGAUUGCGCAAUUUGCAUCCAAUACAUCAAUGCACAAAUAAGAGAUGGAGGGACUAUAGCCAAAGUGCUUUCUACUAAGGCCGAUGUCAAUAUGAACCUUAUACUAGAGGAGUACUAUAGAAAGAACGGGCCCGACCUCCUUCCUCAGCUUCAAAAGCUUGUGGCCCUGGUGCAUGAUUUUUAAUUGCUCUUGAAGCCACUAUGUCUGACAAUUUAUGUAGUGCUGUGUGUUUAGAAGUAUGUCUGUUUUCCUUGCUUUCUUAAUGUAUCGAACAUUGUUGUCGAAAAGUUACUGCACCUGUCAGAAACAAGAGCAAUCCUAGUACGUGAAGCGAGGCAUUACCAUAGAUAGAAUCCUUGAAAUAUUUUUGUUCUAGGCCAGUCAAAGUUCCUAAUCUAGUUGUCCUCCAAUCUUCAAAUUGUUAGGGAAAUCCCUUAUGAUAUUUUGAAGAUGACAAAAUAAAUCAAAGACUACUAAUAUGUUUGAUGGUUAAGUAAUAGAUUAUGCAGAUAAUAGAACAUAUAAAGGAUAUUAUCAAAGACUAUACUUGGAAGAACCAAAAGACUGAAUGUAACUCAUGUCCAAAGUAUAUUCUGAAGAUUUCUAGACUUCUGUAUCAAGGUCUGAAGACUGCCAGAAUUUAGUGUCAAAGUCUGUUCUACAUCAGAAGUCUGCUCACUCUGACAAAUUCCAGACUGAACGUGAAUGAAGAACCAGAAGACAGACUCUAUGCUGAAACUGAACCAGAAGACAGACUCUAUACUGAAGCUGAACUUAUUCAGACGGUGUUCAUACCUUAAAGCUAAAUCUAUUCAGAAGCAGAAUAUGUUCAGACCCAGAUUGUAAAGUCUAUUGCACUCAAACUCAGAUUGUAAAGUGUAUUAUUCUCAGACUUUACAUCCAGAUUCGACGGAACGUAACUCAAGCCCCAAUCAUAUAACGGCUAGUGAUCUAGUUUGAAUUCUACAUCAAGAUUGAUUUGAUUGACUCAAUUUAAUUGAUUGACGAUUGGAUCUUGAAGAUAAGAACUUUCUAUACGAAGAAGCUCUACUUAUGGAAACCAAGAUUCUGUUUAUAUGGGCGAUCGGAAUCAAUUUGGGAUUCUACUUUUGUCACUCAACGGCUACCAAAUCUUCUAGACACAGAGCUGUCCAAUGGGUAGAUUGGAAGACGAUCCUCGAGAUACAGUCCAACAGCUAGUUUGGAAGUGGAGGAGUAUUUAAGGAGUUGAAGGACCGAUGAGCAAGUAAGAGACGGAACGUAGAAUUUAUAAUUCCAAAGUCCGAGCGAUCUUUGUUCAUACACUUGUCUUUGAAGAGCUUAAACGUUUGUGAUCGUGAGAAAAAUACCAAAAGAGUGACUUAGUGAAAUAGUAUGAUCUACUAAGUGUUUGCACUCAAAAUUGUAAUCUCUUGUUGAUUGCAUAGUGGAAUCCAGCCAAGAAGGCUGUUAGCGUGGGAGAGUAGACGUAGGCUUGGAUUAAGCUGAACCACUAUAAACCUUGUGUUCUUAUUCUCUUCCUUAACUCCUUUCUUUUACUCGAAAAUUAUUUUAUUCUACAUAUAUUUGCCAAGGUUUAGUUUAAACACCUAUUCACCCCCUCUAGGUGUUCAUACUAGCACUCUCACAAAUCAAAUCACACCCGUCAAUAUGACAAUGCGCCUUCUCAAAGUGGAGAGGAUCUUGUUGUAGCAAAUUGUUGGACCAAGAGGGAAAGACAGAGUCCCUGUGACUUGCAACGCUAAGCCCUAGAGCGAUACUGUCAAGCCCUUGAGCGAUACCGUCAGCAAGACAUGUUGAUCUUCAGAGAAUGCCAUAUUGCCAAAGCCCUUAAGCAUUACUGUCAGCAAGGCUCAUUGAUCUUCAGAGAUGUCAUCAUGUUUUCCUUGCUUUCUUAGAAAACCAUUGAUCUAUUUGACACUUCUACUAGAAAAGAACCAAAGAAUGCAAUUUGAAGCGCAAAUCAGUUGAGUUCUCUGAAUCUGAAGAAACUAAUGCUAUCGACAUACCGGUCUGCAAAAAGUUUGUAAAUCUAGUCAAUAAGUUCAAAACUAAAACACAAUUUCCAAACCCCACACAAUGGAACUGUAAAAUGAAACCAAAUCCCACUAGGAAUGACACAAGUUGAAAAAUAAAACUGUUGGGCCUAAGCUUGGUUAAACCAACGCGAUGCUGCUUUCGCCACCCUGAGGCUUGCCAAUGGCACCAAAGUAGUCUCUAGACUUUGCCUAUCCAUCAGCAAAGAUGUCAUCGCCAUUAAUUUCUCUCAAUUUAGCCAAACUCAAUGAUUUCUCCACAAACGUUGGAGGCACAUCACCCUUGAAGACGUUGUUUUCGGUACACCCGUUAAACGGGUGGGUCGGGUCGGGUUUGGGUUGGGUCAUAAAUGGUCUAACCCAAAUUGACACAUUUAUUGCAAUGCAAAAUUUUUUAUCCAUACCCGACCCAACCCGUACUCGACAUAUACUCGACCCAUUUAACGAAACCUAGAAAAGCUUAUAUAUAUUUUUAAAAUGGUAUUGUUAAAAUGGUUUUAUACAACACAAAUUAAUGGACAAUUUUAAAAAGAAAAAAACUAAAAAUAUAUACUUUAAAAAAAUCGAAUUUUAAUUAUUUUUAAAAUUUUAAUUUUUAAUUAUUUUUAUUUUUAUUUUUAAGAAUAUAAUUUUUCUUUUUUUCUUUUUCUCUGUUCUUUUUUCUUUUUUUUUCUUCUUCUUCUUUGGCCAGCCACCAACCAUGAUAACAACCGGCAACCAGCCACACCGACGUUGGCGAGCUCAAGGCUCGGUAGAUCGGCGAGGCUCGAGCCUCACCGAAUGUCGAUGAGGCCUCCGCCUCACCAGAUCUAGCGAGCUCGAGCUCGCCCCUCGCCGGAUCUGGCAAGGCUCGAGCCUCACCAAACGUUAGUGAGGCCUCCACCUCGCCAGAUUGGCGAGGCUCAAGCCUCGAGCCUUGCCCGACGCCAGCAAGUUCGAGUCUCGCCAGAUCGGCGAGUCAUCUACCUUGCCAAACGCCGGUGAGCUCGAGGCUCGCUAGAUCAGCGAGGCUCAAGCCUCGCCCUACGCCAGCGAGACUCGAGUCUCGCCGAACGUCAAACAAGGCCUCCGCCUCGCCGACGCCAGCAAACUCGAGGCUCACCUAGCCGAUCACUAGCCAUCACCAACUAGCCACCAGAAGAAGGAAGAAGAAAAAAGAAAAAGGAAAGAAAAAAGAAAAGAAAAUUAAAAUAAAAAAAUAAUUAUAAUUUCAAUUUUUAUAAAAAAAAAAUUGUGAAGUUAAAAAGGGAAGAGGGAGAUUGUGUGAUUUUGGUUGAAAAUGGGUUCUAAAUCCAACCCAUUUAAGACCAUUUAAGACCCACCUAUCUUAAACCUUUCAUUACUAAAUACAUUUAAUUAGCUUCUUCAAAAAGCAAGUGACCCAUAUAUGAUUUAAAUGGGUCAUAUAUGGGUCUAAGGCCCAUUUUGCCACCUCUAGUUUCCAGAGAGCUCAAAGAAUUUCUGUCAUAGAUUUGCUUGGUAGUUCUCAUCAUAGGUUCCGUAUUGGAGAUGAUACUGCUCUAACCUCCAGCAGGCUGAUAAAGUCAGAGAAACUAUUAGUGAGGCUAUUGAACUCCACUGCUAAAAAAAACAGGAGAAGAAACUUUAACAGAAGAGCAUGUUAACGUAAAUACAGAUUUGACUCGCAUUAGAGACUUUAAUAAAAGUCCGAACAAUAAAGAGAGGAUAAUAAUAUUUGAUUGGAGUAAUAGAUCGAAUGUUGUUAAAGGUGUGACUUACGCUUUGUCCUACAUGCACCGUGAAUGCUCUCCUCCUAUAUAAUUCAUCAAGACAAAUCAAGUAAAAACAUUUUACUAGAUGAAUAAUACCAAAUUCACUCUCUAAUUUUGGCACGGCUAAGGUUCUAGAACCUUAUUCAUCCAAUUAGACUUCCUUUGCAAACACCUUUGGAUAUGCAACUCUAGGUAAAGUUGGCUUCUUCAAAAUUUCACCCUCCAUUUUUAUAGAUAGGAAAAUGAUCAUACAAGACCCUCAUCCUUAACUUCCUUCCUUUAAACUUCUAAAUACUUAACACCAAGUCCAAAGCUAUUCAUGCUAUUGGAAGGUCCAAUUAAAGAUUAAUUGAGAUGUAGGUCACCAAAGUGAAACUUUUUCCUAAAGAAAUGGAAAAUUUCAAAUGCCAUUGGAAACUAAAGAAUGUAUUGAUUUAUACUUGAUUCUCUAGAUAUUAUUCACUUAAAAUCAAUUUAAAUUUACAAAGCAUAGAUAUUGUAUAAAAGCUAGAAAAAAUUGUUUUUUUCUCUUUGUAGAACUCGUAUGCACAGUGAAAGUCAACAAGAAAUGUAAUAUUUAUGGUUUCGGAGUGGUCACAUUGGAAAUAACAUGGGAAAACAUUCGAGCAAUCUCAUUGCUUCUCUCACCUCCUCAUCUUUAUCAUCAUCGAGCAAUUCAACACUUCUUGGCCACUGAAAAAAGUUCUAGAUCAAAGAAUUCCAUACUGGAAGGUAAUGUGCUAGGGGAAGUCACUUUGGUGACAUAGAUGACAUUUUCGCACUUAAAUCCCAAACCAAAGCAUUGUCCAACCGUGCAAAAAGUUUCUCGGGCAAUAUUAGCGCAAAGCUCGAUCAUUUUAAGCGCAUUGGAGGACAUCAAAUUGGAAGAACUAGUUGAUCUUAUACGCUUCACUUAUUGAGAUAUUUCAGUCUUUCUGCUGCAACCUAUGUAGCAAACCGUCUCCUAUACUUUGUUUAUAAUAGUUGAUUCCAUUAUCCAUUUCGGUAAUAAUUCACUAGUUACUUGAAAGCACUUGGGAAUUACUGUCAUUUGCAAUUCCAACAAAGAAGAGAGAGCCUACAGCUGCGAUGUCUAAUCCUCAAGAAUGGAUUUAAAGAAACAAGAUCAUGAUAUUUCUUGCAGCUAUUACAUUUACUUGUUACAAUUUGGCUUCUCAUCUAGAAUGGUAAACAUUGACGAUAGAAAAUGUGACAAGCACAAACGAGCACAAUUGGUGUAAGCUAGCAUCUAUUUUUUUGAAGUUUGGUCCAAUUAUUUUAGUUGAAUACAUGCCGACAUCACAAUUUAAAAAAAAAUGAAGUACAAAUCAGAGUAUAAUUUGUUUACAUCAAAUUAUAUGAGUAACUUUAUAUCCUUUGAAACGAAAGCCAACUUUAGUAAGUAUUAUUUUUCAUAGAUUAGUGUCUCAGACUUAAAACUCAUCGCGAAAUUGCAAUUGAGUCUUAAAAUGUUAAUCAAGUCAUAGAAAUCGUCAAGCUGUGUCCUUCAUUAGUUCCGUCCAUUUUGUCUAAGGGGAAAUGUUGACGGGUGAUUUUUUAUGAUCUUUUAAUGUGCGUGGUGCGAAUGGGGCACCAACUAAGUGCCAUGUCAAAAAAAAUUGCAAAAUUAAAAGAAUUACGGAAAAAGGAUAAAAAUAAAAAUAAAAAAUAUCACUAAAGCCAAAGGUUUUUAAUUUAAAAAAGAAGAAGGUGCUAAACCAAGGGAUUGGGUUGUGGGGAAGGCUGCUGCCCUGGAACGAACUUUGCCGAAGAACUUGGGGGUAUCAUCUUUUCCAAAUGAACGUAUGUGUGGGCGGGCCAGAUUUCGAAACCCUCGUCCUGACCCGGCCGGCCCAUUAACCGGACCUGCAAAUUUUGUCCAAAUCCGGCCCAACGCGUUCCUCGGGUUUCCACUUCGAGAAGGUGGACGCAUCGACCGCAACGACACGUGGCGCUCGUACAGCGCCUCCGGGCUUAUUGCUUUCCACGUUACGUGGCGCGCGCUCUCUCUCUCUCUCUCUCUCUCUCUGUUUUGUCUCCUCCUUCCUCUAUCUCGUUCUCGCUUCGUCGGGAACACCUCCCCACGAUCUUCCAUUCCCUCAGCAAUGUCGAGUCUCACCGUCCCGGAGCUGGUGCCCCCGUGGCCGAUGACUGCGAGCAGCUCCAGAAAGCCUUCGCGGGUUCGCUAUCUCCUCACCGCCUUUCUUUCUCUCUUCUUCGUGCUGCCUCCUCCGAUUCUCGUCGCGAGUCGUUUCGUCGUCGACGAUCGUGUUCCGUCGUUAGUGUUUGGAUCUAUGAUCUGCUUAGAGAUCGUGGUCUGGUCGGAGUGAUCUUUCGGUGGCGACCCGUUCGAGAGUUCAUGUGCUUUUUUUCUUUUUUUGGGUGAUCGGCUGUUAAGAUCGAGCUAUUUCUGGCUUUACUAUUUCCUUUUGAAUUCCAAAUUCCAAAAAAGCGUCGAACUUUAAUUUAAUCUUUAUUCGUUUGGUGAUUAUCUUGAACGAUCUUGAAGGAUGGGGAAGGAAGCUGAUUAGGCAAACCUAUGCCGAGACUUAUGGCAAGGACCUGCUCAAUGCAUUGGACAGAAAACUUACGGAUGAUUUCGAGGUCUGCAUCUUUCUUUAAUUAUUUGAAUUCAUCCCAUGGAGAGAUGCCCUCUUUCUCUCGGAUUAAUCCAUAUUCAUGCCUAUAUUCUCGUUGAUUAUCGAACGUGAUUGUAUGUUCUGUUCAUAAAGCCGUGGAUAUAACAUGACAUGAUUUUUUAAAUUCUUUGCAUCCCUGUAAUUUGCAUAUCAGCAGAGGCUGGUGGUCCUUUGGACACUUGAUCCGGCUGAAAGUGAUGCGUACUUGGCCAAUGAAGCGACGAAAAGAUGGACUUCAAGCAAUCAGGUUCUCGUGGAAAUAACCAGUUGCUUAUGGCAAGACAAGCAUAUCAUGCUCAAUACAAGAAGUCGCUGGAAGAGAUGUUGCUCACCACCCAACUGGAGAUUUUCAUUAGGUACUGCUUUUACGCUUGCCUGAACUUGUUCCAUGAAGUUUCCCAAUGCUGAUGAUUGUUCUUCUCAGCAACUUAUGUUCAUACAUUAUGCAAUAAGUACUCUGUACAAUGAAGUCUAAGUAGCUGUGUAAUACUCAGAAUAAUUUCAAAUUGCUGUCCUGGGAAAUAUCGUUUGAGAUUGAUGAAGGCAAGUAAAAUAAAAUUUGUCUGACUCAGCAUAUUACCAGGAGCCUGAGAAUAUAAGUUGCAGGGUGUUCAAUCUUUAAGACAGUUUUGAAGUUUUGCAGAGAAUACUUGUUGGGAUGGCGGUGUGGUUGAGAGCAGUUCCUGAUAUUAUGGUUUGUCAUUUCAUUGAAGAUGGUUUCAUGAAACUCUAGAGACCUAGUUCAUUGGAACCCUUUCUCAGAUCUCAAAUGAAGAACCAGGUCCAUCAUCAAAAGUUUAGCCUUAUGACAACCUGUCAAAUAAUUAUUAUCUAUCCUGAAUCAUUUUAUUUUUCAUUAGGUGUUGAAUGCUUGUCGGGAAAAUACUGUAUUUUGAUACAGUUUCUUUGUUUUCUAGUUGCUGUUACCUCUCAUGAUCUCAUACCCUUAUGAUGGAGACAAGGUGGACAUGAAUUUGGCAAAAGCAGAGGCUAAGAUACUCCACUAGAAGAUCUCAGAGAAGGCUUCAAGCCACAAGGAUCUCAUAAGGAUUUUGGCUACUAGGAGCAAUGCGCAAGUCAAUGCUAUGCUGAUCAAUACAAAAAUGAGUUCGGAAAUGAUAUCAACAAGGUGAGCUGGAAUUUCUAUGAACCGGCCCUUUCAUGUUGCUUUUACUUGCAUGUCUAAAGUUUAUAGUUCCUCAAGGAUGAAGAGUGCCUGUGGGCACUUAUUCUUUUUGGUUAGCAUCCAUGUUGUUAAGAGGCAACUUCAAGAUGUCUUGUUUCUAAAACAUUGAGAUGUAAUAAUAUCGCCUGUUUCCAAGUUGUUCAUUCACUUCCGGACUAUAACCUUUCUACUAUGCAUCAGAACAUAUUGACUUUUCUCUGUUCCAGAUUAAAAAUUGUUUAAUUCUCGAUCCUUCAUGUUCGCAGGAUUUGAAAACUGAUUUGAAAGACAAGUUCCUUGCUACUCUGAGAGCUACAGUAUAGUGACUGACUCGCCCUGAGAAGUAUUUUGAGAAGCUUCUUCGUCGAGCCAUCAAGGAACAGAUUAAGUGGCUCUGACCAGAGUGUUUGCUACCAGGGCUGAGGUUGACAUGAAGAUUAUAAGUGAGGAGUACCAUAGGAGGAACAGAGUUCCCCUCGAUCAUGCCAUUGCCAAGGACAAUACUGGAGACCACGAAAAAAAUGCUUUUGGCAUUGAUUGGCCACGUUGAGGCUUGAUUUACAAGUACUCAUGAAGCUAUGUCCAGUGGAGGCAAUAUGUCUAUUUUGGCGUGGUUUGAGGUGUUUCUGUUUUCCUUGCUUUCCAGUAACGUACAGUUACCAAUAUGCCUCCCCAGAAAGUCGUCAGUUAUAGCUAUGAAAUACAUUUCUCAUCAUGACAUUGGUUUAUGUACUUCUGAGAAGUCUUUGAUUUUGAUCUUUAAUCAAGACUGCUAGUAAGUGACCGUCAACUCGGUUUCCUUGCAAUCGUGUUAUAGCAGUGCUGGCAAUUCAAUGAACAAUGCCACAGAAACUGCUGAUUCUAUGGCCUUUUAGUUAAUGAGGAACAAAUAUUAUAAGGAUCAGAGGUUAGUCUUUAUUUCAUUAAGUAGCUUGAGAUACGACUGGUUUAUGUUGUUUUGCCAGAGGAUAUCCAUUGGGGUGGCAGAAUCUCAACCAUGAAGCUCGAUGCUUGGGGUCAUUUCAGCUUCAUGUGGAAACUACAGAUUGCACUGCUUUCUCAGCUUUUAUAACACCUCAUUUAGGUAUAAAUGCUAUCCGAACCCACUAGGAGCCUUGGAGGUUGCUUUUGCAGCAUCAUGGUAAUCUCCUCAGUUGCUCGCCACCGCAUCCCCACUUCCCACAAGAAAUUCAGCUGCUAAUUCCAAAUUGAUCCGAGGCAAAUCUUAAUUAGUAUACCAUGAUGUGAUGGCGAUGGAACAUUUCACAGCACACCAUAGGAAGCCUUAUCAAUUAAUCCAUUGCGGGUUUAGAUCAGAUUAAAAUCCCAAGAGGGAAGUGCCAACAAGCACACGGCCUGUAGGGGAUGCGGCCUGUUGGAGAUGGGUUUCCAGGGGGUGAUUUCCAAGUUCAAAACUUGGAGUAGGCCCAAAAAAGAAAAAAGUAGGGAAGCAAACUGACGACCGAAAGAGCACCAACUUGAUGGAUGGACAAGCAAAAGUUUUCCCACCUGUCAAGAGCAGCAAGAGCAAUGCUGGUACAUGAAGUGAGGCAUGAUUGUCCUCCAAUCUCCAAACCAAGUCGGGCUUGUCAGCAGAGCAUGCGCCUUCCCUAGAACCUGUCAGCAAUACCGUCGGCAAGACACUCCCAGCAUUAAGGGACUUUUCUUCACAUGGAGUUUGGAUCGGCAUGGUUUUCUUAUUUAGUAUAAGUAACAUAUGCAAAACUUAUUGCCAAAAUCCUUGUGAGUUGCUAUCCAUUACAGGUCAACUUGAUGCGAUUGGAAAGGUACACGGUGGUGACAUAUCCUUAAUAUGACGAGCAUAUUUCGAAGCUACAUCUUGAGCAUGGAUGGGAUAGAAAGUUCUUUUAGAAAACCAUUGAUCUAUUAGACACUUCCACUGGAAAAGAACCAGAGAAAUCAAUUUGAAGCACAAAUCAGUUUGAAAUCUCCUCUGAAUCUGAAGAAACCAAUGCUAUAAACACACCGGUCCGCAAACAGUUCGUACAUCUAGUCAAUAAGUUCAGAGCUGAAACACAAUUCCCAAACCCCCACACUCCGGAAGUGUCAAAUGAGACCAAAUCCCACUAGGAAUAACACAAUUUGAAACAUAAAACUGUUAGGCCUAAGCUUGGUUAAACCAACGCAAUGCUGCUCUCGCCACCUGGAGGCUUGCGAACGCCACCGAAGUAGUCUCUAGACUCUGCCUUUCCAUCGGCAAAGAUGUCGUUGCCACUAAUCUCUCUCAUUUUAGCUGAGCUCAGUGAUUUCUCCGCAGACGUAGGAGGCGCAUCACCCUUGAAGACGUUGUUUCCAGAUAGCUCGGAGAAUUUCUUGUCAUAGAUUUUCUUGGCAGUUUUCAUCACAGGAUCCUCAUUGGAGGUAAUACUGCUCUGACCUCCAGCAGGCUGAUGAAAUCGGAGAAUCUAUCAGUGAGGCUAUUGAACUCCAUUUCUAAAAUAAACAGAAGACCUGAAGAAACUUUAACAGAAGAGCAUGUUACCGUAAAUAUAUAUUUCACUCACAUUAGAGACUUUAACAGAAGUCCGGACAUGACGCGGUGCAGGUUCUCCCAUGUCUUGAUUCGUGUCCAAUGCCCGUGCAGCCAGUGGCCUUGGCAAAAUUUCUGGAGGAGGAGCAAAAAUAUCAUGUCCACUCAAUUCCUUGCACUUGGCAUCAGAUAUUUGCUUUUUCAACUUCAUGUCGGACUCGCUUUCCAACGUUCCACUCAGUUCUCGCUGCUUUGCAACCUCAGGAAGAGUGGUAGGCUUCUUGGGAGAAACGCUUUCUUCUUCAGCAAACGAGAUGUGACUGAUGCCAGCAAGGGCUUGCUAGUAAUAUCAACCACCAAAAGAGCUUACAUCAUGAUGGACUCAACACCAAUUUAAUAGGUCAAAAGCAAUCAGCAUAGUAAAACAUACCUGGUACAUCCUUAUUCCAGUUUUGUUAUUUGAAGCAGGGUUAGCACUUCCAGGUUGUAGUGAAUCAUCCUCCCCAUUGGCAGCAAAAAUCCCACUACCAGUAAUUUCUUUCAUCUUGUAGCCAGAACAAGGUUUCCUGGAAGAUUACAAAAGCACUAUUCUAUGGAGGAGAAGAUGAGGAAAAAGCCACAAUAAGCAGUACCAAAGCGCAAAGGCAUUAUGAAAGCUUAUGAAACUCUCUUGAUAAGGAGGAUAUCAAAGGUCACAUGUGUAUGAGUGUGUGCCUGCGAGCAAAUACGCAAGCUCGUGUGUGUUUGCGUGGGUGCAUGUGCAUUUGUGUCAAAUAUCCAUCCUCAUUCAGUUUGUCUACAAAAAUAGAUAGAUAGAUAGCCAAGUAACUGGCUUUUUAGACGGACAUGUUUGUGGGUGCAUGCAUUUGAAAUUGUAUAUAUAAUGACUUUUCUGUAUGUACAUGUUAUACAUGGAUUUCAGCUUUUCCUAAUUUAACAACAUAUAGUUGUUUCUAUCACAGCACUUCGGAAGGGUGUCGACAAUGCAUCAUGUGUGACUUACCAAUCCUGAGCAAAAUGCCCUCUCCUUUCCAUGCAUUGACUAAGAACAAUCUAGUUUUAGAUGGACUAGAG